rnacentral:rRNA from 1 species
AUUGAACGCUGGCGGCAGGCCUAACACAUGCAAGUCGAGCGGAUGAGAGGAGCUUGCUCUUUGAUUCAGCGGCGGACGGGUGAGUAAUGCCUAGGAAUCUGCCUGGUAGUGGGGGAGAACGUUUCGAAAGGAACGCUAAUACCGCAUACGUCCUACGGGAGAAAGUGGGGGAUCUUCGGACCUCACGCUAUCAGAUGAGCCUAGGUCGGAUUAGCUAGUUGGGGAGGUAAUGGCUCACCAAGGCGACGAUCCGUAACUGGUCUGAGAGGAUGAUCAGUCACACUGGAACUGAGACACGGUCCAGACUCCUACGGGAGGCAGCAGUGGGGAAUAUUGGACAAUGGGCGCAAGCCUGAUCCAGCCAUGCCGCGUGUGUGAAGAAGGUCUUCGGAUUGUAAAGCACUUUAAGUUGGGAGGAAGGGCAGUAACUUAAUACGUUGCUGUUUUGACGUUACCGACAGAAUAAGCACCGGCUAACUCUGUGCCAGCCGCCGCGGUAA